AAAAAUAUUGAAAGUGUCAAAAGUAUUAUGUGGGCUUGAUAGUAUCAAUUAUAUUUCCUCAACAUAAAUAAGUAUUUGAACUUUCUUAUACUGAUAUUUAUACCCUAAUACAAUUAAUGUCUACCACAUUGACCAUAAACAUACAUUUUAAAAGGCAAUUAAAAUAAUAUUUAUACUAUUAAUAUUAUUUGCUAAAACCAUUCAGCAUGUUAUAUUUAAAUAUUUACAAUUAAAUAUAAUGUGUUAAGGGUGCUGUGUAUUAUUCAAUAAAUAUUUUGGUGUUGAAAUGACUGCCUUAUCAGUAUUUCUCAAAUUAUGCAAUUUUUGGCUUAGACACAGCAUGGUAUCAGAUAAGAGAAUAGCCAGUCCCUAUCAGUCCUCCAUCUAAGCCUAACUAAGGGGUGUUGAUAUACUUUUGAUUUGUUCAGGCACCAUCUAUUUAAGAACCACAGAUAGGAAGUUAUUUUUUGAAAACAAGCAGCAUCAGCAACUGACUUUAAGCUAGAAUUAAGACUUAUUAUUCUAGUGUAAAAUGUCUUGAAAUACUUUCAGCAUGAAGUAUUGUGUGAUGAAAAAAAUGUGUAUUUACUACAAUGUGUAAAUCAACAAUAAAGGAGAUUAAAAGUGGGUGGUUAAAGACAUAUAAAGUGAUAUGGUCUAGUUCAACAACUGCCUGUAUUUUUGGAAUACUGAAGAACAGUCUGUUGUAACAGGUUAAACCCCAUGGAAAGAAUGUGCAUCAUCGCAUCCCCUGCCAAAAAAAGGAGCAAAAGAGAGACUACCUGAUGUAUGGACUUGAAUACCAGGUUUUACCCUGCACAAGCUGGCCGACAUGAGGAGAACAGGAGUGGGAAAACCGCGCCCUCUCCUUGACCAAGAAAAGCAGAGGACCUGAUCAAAUGAGAUCAUCACGAGACGCAUCGCGCAAAGGCCAUGACAGUAUAAUAGUUGCAAAGAAGUUUGACCGGCUGGUGGCAGACUUGGAGAGAAAGAUGAGAGCUGCACUCCGCUGCCUCAAAGAAAUGCUGAAAGGCCUUGAUUGAUAUGCAUCUUUCUUAUGUAUAUAGCUGUUCGUGUGUAUAUAGUACUGUACAUGUUAUUAUAGUAUGCUAUUAUUUUUUGUUUAUUUAUAAUCAAAUUAUGUUUAUAUUUAUUUCAUCAAAUUGCCAUUGAUAUUUAAUUACUCAUGUAUGUUAAAAAAUGUGGGGUACAUUAAAGUAUAAAAUUGAAUUAUCUUGUAAUUAUUAAAAUACACAAAAAUAUAUGUUUAUAUAAUUAUUGGUUUUUAUUGCAUAUCUGAAUUAAAUUAACUUUGAACAGCAUAUAAUUGAAUCAACUGUUAAGGCAAAAGAUGCACCUUUAACGCACAUGUGUGCUUUUUGUGAGUGCGUUUUUUGCUGCCAUUC